UCCGUAGGCGGGCGUCUAAGUCGGUGGUGAAAUCUUACAGCUCAACUGUAAAAUUGCCAUUGAUACUGGAUGUCUUGAAUUAGUGUGAAGUGGUUAGAAUGUGUAGUGUAGCGGUGAAAUGCAUAGAUAUUACACAGAAUACCAAUUGCGAAGGCAGAUCACUAACACUAUAUUGACGCUGAGGGACGAAAGCGUGGGGAGCGAACAGGAUUAGAUACCCUGGUAGUCC
rnacentral:rRNA from 1 species